ACAAUUCAGAGAGUGGAAUCUAGUAAGCUGAACAAACUGAGCUCUGAUGGGGUCCUUCCCCAGAGCUGCCCGUUUCCUGGUACUCCUCCAGAUCGCCCUGUUCCUCGUCUUCUCCGCGGUUAUCAUGAGCGGCUCCGCGGCAGCGGCCCGCGACAUCAGUGCUGGCGGUGGUGCUCUGAACCCUAACCGUCCUGGGUGCAUUGGCGGAUCGUGCCCAUCACCUGGUGGAUCCUACGCUCGACCAUGCCGGAACAAGUACAGGUGCACACCACCGGCUGGUGGUCAACCCUAACACCUGGAGACCCCCUCUCACGAAUAAUGGAGGGUAUAUAUGCUCAGCUGAUGCAUUCCUCCAUGCCGCUACAACUACAUGUGCCCACCGGCUGAUGCAGCCACCACCUUAUACUUAGCCGGUGACUCUACGUGUACUUCCAUCUUAAUACUCCGAAUAAAACUGUAUGGCUUGCAAUGGUACGAAUAUGGUUGUGUGAACAUGCAUGAAAGUUCGGUUCAAAA